UUCCUAUCUGGUACGCAGACCUGAGCAAGGCUAUAUAACGCCGAUGUUUCAAACGUAAAAAAGGUUAUAUACUUUUAAGAUAAAAACAAUGCAAAAAUAAAAUAUUUGUAGCAUUUACAAAUAGUACAAGAGUUACAUUAAACACUACAUUCGAAACUUGAAAUGCGUUACGCAGUCUCUACUUUGAGCUUGAUGUUUUCAUAUCUUGAAGCCAUCGAACUUGUGUGGCCGGUCC
rnacentral:lncRNA from 1 species